rnacentral:rRNA from 1 species
UGGGGAAUUUUGGACAAUGGGCGAAAGCCUGAUCCAGCAAUGCCGCGUGUGUGAAGAAGGCCUUCGGGUUGUAAAGCACUUUUGUCCGGAAAGAAAUCCUUGGCUCUAAUACAGUCGGGGGAUGACGGUACCGGAAGAAUAAGCACCGGCUAACUACGUGCCAGCAGCCGCGGUAAUACGUAGGGUGCAAGCGUUAAUCGGAAUUACUGGGCGUAAAGCGUGCGCAGGCGGUUUGCUAAGACCGAUGUGAAAUCCCCGGGCUCAACCUGGGAACUGCAUUGGUGACUGGCAGGCUAGAGUAUGGCAGAGGGGGGUAGAAUUCCACGUGUAGCAGUGAAAUGCGUAGAGAUGUGGAGGAAUACCGAUGGCGAAGGCAACCCCCUGGGCCAAUACUGACGCUCAUGCACGAAAGCGUGGGGAGCAAACAGGAUUAGAUACCCUGGUAGUCCACGCCCUAAAACGAUGUCAACUAGUUGUUGGGGAUUCAUUUCCUUAGUAACGUAGCUAACGCGUGAAGUUGACCGCCUGGGGAGUACGGUCGCAAGAUUAAAACUCAAAUGAAUUGACGGGGUCAUAGCUGUUUCCU